rnacentral:tRNA from 1 species
GCCGGGGUGGUGAAAUUGGUAGACACAGCAGACUCAAAAUCUGCCGCUCGCAAGGGCAUGUCGGUUCGAGUCCGACCCUCGGCACCA